AUUGAACGCUGGCGGCAGGCUUUACACAUGCAAGUCGAACGAGCGGCGGACGGGUGAGUAAUGGAUGGGGAUCUGCCUGAUAGAGGGGGAUAACUACUGGAAACGGUGGCUAAUACCGCAUACUAUCGGAUGAACCCAUAUGGGAUUAGCGAGUAGGUGGGGUAAAGGCUCACCUAGGCGACGAUCUCUAGCUGGUCUGAGAGGAGGAACAGCCACACAGGAACUGGGACACGGCCCAGACUCUGACGGGAGGCAGCAGUGGGGAAUAUUGCACAAUGGGAGCAAGCCUGAUACAGCCAUGCAGCGUGUAUGAAGAAGGCCUUAGGGUUGUAAAGUACUUUCAGCGGAGAGGCGUUACCCACAGAAGAAGCACCGGCUAACUCCGUGCCAGCCGCCGCGGUAAUUC
rnacentral:rRNA from 1 species